rnacentral:rRNA from 1 species
AUUGAACGCUGGCGGCCGGCCUAACACAUGCAAGUCGAACGAGUGGCGGACGGGUGAGUAAUGUCUGGGAAACUGCCUGAUGGAGGGGGAUAACUACUGGAAACGGUAGCUAAUACCGCAUACCAUCAGAUGUGCCCAGAUGGGAUUAGCUAGUUGGUAGGGUAACGGCGCCCCAAGGCGACGAUCCCUAGCUGGGCUGAGAGGAUGACCAGCCACACUGGAACUGAGACACGGUCCAGACUCAUACGGUAGGCAGCAUUGGGGAUUAGUGCACAAUGGGCGCAAGCCUGAUGCAGCCAUGCCGCGUGUAUGAUGAAGGCCUUCGGGUUGUAAAGUACUUUCAGCAGGGAGGCGUUACCCGCAGAAGAAGCACCGGCUAACUCCGUGCCAGCAGCCGCGGUAAUAC